UUGGGGGUACUCGAGGACCGGAGUUGCGAACCACUGGUUUAGGAGAUGCAGUCCUGCAGAGGGGAUAGACUCCUGCUACCAUUUCAUCCAACACAACUGACUGUAUUAACCAGCAGCUCGCUAGGAUAUUUAUUCGCUAAAUCACUGGUGUUACAUGUAGAAUGUAGCAGUUCUCCGGGAGGAUCGUGGCUUUUUAGCCAUGCAAAUAUCAGGUCUGUGGUCCCAGGACCGCCAGAAGAUCCACAAAGGAAAAGAAACGCACUGAGGCAUUUGUUUUAUACUAUAGGCGUACGGUAGGAUAUCAAACGGUAGAAAUUACUUUUAAACGCUUAACGCCAUUAUUUAUUGGUCUUUUUUAGUCUCGAAACAAUCCAUCUGUGCUUAUCUAGAGCUGGAGCUAUGCCCUGACACCCGUCCUGGGUUUUUACUGCAACAGCGUAGGCCUACAGGGAACUUUAUUUCUAUUUUGUCCCCCAGUAUAGAAUUGGAGAAUAGCCUUUCUUGUCGUGAACCGUGUUUACUCGCCACGAACACGAAUCCUACACAUCCUGUCGUUCAAUGACAUCCUGCUGUUCCAAGUUCUCGGGAAUGGGAAAUCUCUCCUAGCGUCUCCAUCUCGGUCUGCCACCAAAAGCCCACCGAAGGAGAAGGCCAGCAAGUGCCUCUGAUCCUCUUCUCCAACUGGUCCCGUGGUUCAGUGUGUUCUCAACCACCUGGUAACACCUUGGUUGUUGCAUGACCGGAACUGAAAGUUGUUUUCAACGACACAUGGGUUACUGCAGACCUGGAGUUUGGAGAAAGGGAGUGACGGGAGCAUAUGGAUGCCUAUGGAGCGGUGUUUAUUGUUUGAUUAUUGGGCGAAUUUGUUGCCUCUCAAUACCGUUUUGCAUGGCGGGUUGGACGGUUUUCUUCAGGAAGUCUACAUCUGUUAAGAUGGCUCAUUCCAGAAGGCACGGAGGCAGAGUACGGUAAAUCUGUACUUGGCCUGUACCAGUAGAAGUGCAACUUUUUUCAUUGCCCAUUCUGCCAGGCAGCAAUUUUCAAGCAGAACGACUAUGCCAGUAUGUGGACACAUUGAGACUCAAACUUAAAUGCUUUGCAAAAGGAGGUUUGGAAUGUAUGCUACAGGAUUAUGAAAGAGACUUUACAGCUGCAGGUAGGUUUUUAUUUACAGUUUAGUCUGUGAAUUGUAAUGUUUUAGUCAUUAGCCUAUUUUCAUCCUACAGGGAAAGGUGCCACCUACAUGGCUCCUUCCCAGCAGCUAUGAUCCACAGCUCUCCUUUCCAACACUGCAAGAAGUUGCGCACUUCAUGGAACAGGGGAAAGCAAAUCUGAGGGACGGUGUGUCCCCAGUCCUUCAUAUAUGAAGAAAGAGGAGGCAUGUGGUCAUCACAAUGAUGAGUCCUGUAACACUGCUUGUCAUUCCGGAUUAGAAACUGACAUUCCAGCGGUCUGUUGCAAAGCCACCAGUGCAGAAUGUGUGUUUUGAAUCGGACCCAAUAUUCAUUUAAAGAAUACACUACUAAUACAAGUAUGAAAUGCCAGAAAAUAUAUUUAAACAACAAACAAGCUUUCAUACAUGUUGGCAGAUGUUACAUUAAAUUGUCACACUGUGACCUGGCUGUACAUUUCAUUGUAGGUAGUUUCACAUAAUAAGAGAAUGCAAUAAAUGACAGCAAUUAUGGUCUUUUCUAUAGACACCCUGGGAUACAACUGAGAACUGUUACGCAAAGAGGGUCUGUGAGACUGAUGCUGUAGUCAGGGUUAGUUUAUUAAGUUAAUAAUUUAUUUUACUCCGAACCAAACCGUUCACUUAUAUGGCCACAUUGCUAUUGUGUCCGUAGUGUUUUGUUUUAUUUCCCACAAAAGGCAGAAGAGACAACCAUUUUAAAGGUAAAAUGCAUAUGAGAAUAAUCAAAAAUAACCACCUUUGUCUCAAACUAGUUUUUAUGACUGAUUAAUACACUACAACGUAAGUGUGCAUGUUGUGACUGUACACUCAAUGUCUGGUUUAUUAGGUACACCGGUCUAUGUGAGCACAGAGUCUACAAGAUGUCCAAAAUAUUCCACAAGGCUGAUGAUUCAUGCUGACGUGAUGGAAUUAUGCAGUUGUAACAGAUUGGAUGGUGUCAUGAUGUGAGCAGCCUGUUUCAUCUCAUCCUAAAAAUUUUCUAUUGGGUUAGCGUCUAGGGGCUGCUUUCGUCAGGAAACUUAACUGAAAUAGGAUUAGUCAGACCCGACAAUGUUUUUCUAUUGCUCAGGUUUCCUGUGUUGGUGAUUGCAUUCUCACUGAAGCCAUUUAUGCUUUUUUUAAAACUGAUAGAACACAGUGUGAUUGUCUGCUCUGCUACAAUAUAGCCCAUCCAUGAAAACCA